rnacentral:tRNA from 1 species
UGGUCUGUUGUGUAAUGGUAGCACAGAAGAUUUUGGUUCUUUUAGUCAGGGUUCGAAUCCUUGCAGACCAU